rnacentral:misc_RNA from 1 species
ACAACAACAACUAAAUCUUAAUCCUAAACAAUAACACAUCAAUUGAGGUAUUUCUUCUUUGUAUUAUUAGUAGAGGUAUUCUUGUUUAGUUGAAGUCUGGUUUUGAUUUAACUCAUACAGGGUUUUUCCUUGAAGAUUUACACUUAAGCACAUCAAGUGCAAAAGGAUGGACUAUGUUGCUUAGGUUGUGAUUUUAAAUGGGUUUUUUACUUUGUAUUCCCUAGGUGGAGAGCAUUCAUCAGUACA